AUGCUUACAUCAUAGAUCUAAAGCAACAAUGAGAAAAAGUGAGAAAGAGAGUAUGUAGAGGAGUGUAGUCUUUUCUACCUAAGAGUCUUUAGGUUCUCUCUUUAUGUAAAAAUGAGUGUGGCGUCUGUUAUUUGAUUUAUUGGGCAAUACCAUACUAAAACUGCAUGAUAACGGCUAAUUGUGUAUUAACUGUAUAGUAACAACUCCCACAAUUAAUACCGGGCGAUAAUCGUGCAGAUCGUGUUUUAGCUGUUGUACUGGUGCAAUCGUCGCUAAUAUCAUUAUUAUUAUUCGUGCAAUGAUCUUUGGUGUUAUUCUCAUAUCGGACUAACCAGAACGAC
rnacentral:lncRNA from 1 species